rnacentral:rRNA from 1 species
GACUCUUAGCAGUGCAUCACUCGGCUCGUGCGUCGAUGAAGAAUGCAGCUAGCUGCAAAAACUAAUGUGAAUUGCAGGAUGCAUUGAUCGUCGACAUCGAAUGCACCACUGUUAAUUUUGACAGCAAAUUUUGAUUUAGUUUUA